rnacentral:ncRNA from 1 species
UAUUCGGCUAUGACGAGAAAGAGUACCCGGAAGGAAUGCUGCAGAGAGCUGCCGGUUUGGUGCAAGGCAGUGCAGGGCGUCCGUGGGAAGAUCCUCUCCGAGCUUUCCGGCUGAAUGGGCGGUGUAUGCGCCCCAGUAAGCGGGAACGGCAGGCCCCCGUUAUCACGGGCCGCGCAUUGUUGGAUGCGCACUGAGGGGCCGGGCUUUGCACCGGCAAUAAGAGUGGUACCGCAGAGGAGUUUAUACGCCUUUGUCUCUUAC